GAUGAACGCUGGCGGCGUGCCUAAUACAUGCAAGUCGAGCGAACGGACGAGAAGCUUGCUUCUCUGAUGUUAGCGGCGGACGGGUGAGUAACACGUGGAUAACCUACCUAUAAGACUGGGAUAACUUCGGGAAACCGGAGCUAAUACCGGAUGAUAUUUUGCACCGCAUGGUUCAAAAGUGAAAGACGGUCUUUCUGUCACUUAUAGAUGGAUCCGCGCUGCAUUAGCUAGUUGGUAAGGUAACGGCUUACCAAGGCAACGAUGCAUAGCCGACCUGAGAGGGUGAUCGGCCACACUGGAACUGAGACACGGUCCAGACUCCUACGGGAGGCAGCAGUAGGGAAUCUUCCGCAAUGGGCGAAAGCCUGACGGAGCAACGCCGCGUGAGUGAUGAAGGUCUUCGGAUCGUAAAACUCUGUUAUUAGGGAAGAACAUAUGUGUAAGUAACUGUGCACAUCUUGACGGUACCUAAUCAGAAAGCCACGGCUAACUACGUG
rnacentral:rRNA from 1 species